GAAAAGUUCUGGGUAACACAUGCCAUCAGUGUUGAGAAAAGACCAUUAACACCAAGACUGUGUGUUGGAACGAGGGUUGCUGUGGUGUGUGAGGACAGUUCUGUUGACCAUGCCUGCAGAAACGCUAUGGGGAGGAUGUCAGAUUGGCAUUGCUGGACCCGGAUUGGGUGUGUCCCCCCAUCAUGGGAUCUGCAAUUGCAGCUACUCUUGGAAGCAUGACAGACACUGAGCCGCAGGAAUCCUCAUUCAUCUGGCCAAGUUUUAUGGUUAUAACAAUAUUAAGGAAUAUCUGGAGAGCUUACAAAUGGAGCUGGUAAAAGAC
rnacentral:lncRNA from 1 species